rnacentral:lncRNA from 10 species
CAACCACAAGGCAACUGGUUUGCAUCAUAGAACCCCAGAAAGACCUGGCGGCAGGCAGCCAACUGAGAACAGGUCACACCCAACCCACCCACACCCCGGGGAAGGUUAAAGGCCCCCUCACUGGGAAACUGGCCAGCUGGAGAGAAAAGACCUAGGUUUGGACACUUGGAGGUCCCUCGAGAUACUGCUCCAUCGGCCAGACACGGUGGCUUACCCCUGUAAUCCCAGCACUUUGGGAGACCAAGGCGGGCGGAUUACCAGUGGUCAGGAGUUUGAGACCAGCCUGGCCAACACGGCGAAACCCUGUCGUUGCUAAAAACACAAAAAUUAUCCAGGCAUGGUGGCAUGCACCUAGAAUCAUAGCUACUCGGGAGGCUGAGAGGGAGGAGAAUGGCUUGAACAUGGGAGGUGGAAGUUGCAGUGAGCCAAGAUUACACCACUGCACUCCAGCCUGGGCGACAGUGAGACUCCAUCUCAAAAAAAAAAAAAAAAAAAAGGUACUGCUCCACCAAAGCAUCCAACUGGGAAGCUGGCAGUUUGACACGCAUCCCCACUCUGCCACAGGCACACAGAGAUUCCAGGCAGCUGCUGAGAUAGAAGCAGACAGCCCAGAAUGCCAGACACUCAAGGACAGCCCUGCUGUGGAAAAGACCAAGACAAAAACAAGCAAACAAGCAAAGAGGAAGGAAAAGAAGCUGCAACCUUUAGCUACAGUGCCAGGUGGAAUACCGUUUUCAAAACUCGGAUAAUGGAUAUCUGCAUAGAGAUAAGAGAAUAUGGAAAACAUAGCCAAGGAAACACGUGGAGACUCUAAGGAAACCAUGGAAAUUAGAAGCAUGAUUGCAAAAAUAAAGAUCUCUGCAAAGAUUGGAAGAUACGGUUGAGGAAAUUUCUCAGGAAGUAGAACAAAAAAUAUCAAAGAGAAUCCCAAAGAAAAUAGGUGAGAAAAAGAGAUAACCUCGGCUGGGCGUGGUGGCUCACACCUGUUAAUCCCAGCACUUUGGGAGGCCAAGGCAGGCUGAUCACUUGAGGUCAGGAGUUUGAGACCAAGCUGGCCAACAUGGUGAAACCCGUCUCUACUAAAAAUACAAAAAUUAGCCGGGCGUGGUGGCACGUGCCUGUAAUCCCAGCUACUCGGGAGGCUGAGGCAGGAGAAUAGCUUGAACCCGGAAGGCAGAGCUUGUAGUGAGCAGAGAUCAUGCCACUGCACUCCAGCCUGGGUGACAGAGUGAGACUCCAUCUCAAAAUAAAUAAAUAAAUAAAUAAAUAAACAAACAAACAAAGCUAACCUCCUCAAAGAGGCCUCAGCACACAGAUAUGAGGAGUUCAACAAAGAAAAUGGAGGAAAUAAAAUAUUCAAAAUGUUUCUGACCUGAAGAAUCAAACUUUGCAGAUGAAAAGAAACUACAGUGCCCGGCGCAAUGGUGGAAAGCCUACCCACUUCCAGGGCCAUCCCUUUGAGGAUCAGAACUCAGGGAGACUGAGAACACUGUAAACGAUAGCUUAGGAGAAUCAGAAUAUGUCUUCAGGCUUCCCAGCAGCAAUAAGGGAAGGGAGCGCUGCUUUCAAACUCUAAGAAGAAAUUCUUGGACCUCGAAUGCUGGCUAUGCCCCUUCAAACUAUUGAUUACACGUGAGAGGGAAAUGAAGGCUUUUUACCCA